rnacentral:lncRNA from 1 species
GGCUGGCCAGCCUCACGCCAGCUGCCUUCUUCUCAUGACGUGUGGUGUCCUCACAGCCAGCCGUAGGAUCUGCAUUGAGUUCAGCAAGCGGAGGCGACUUCCCCAGGGCCACACAGCCAUGGAGGGCUGCGGCUCAGUUGCUGACUGCUCCAGCUCACCCUCCCGUCCAUGAGGUUUCUGCUCCAAAAUGCUGUUGCUAAGAAAAAUGUUCCAAACACGACCCAUUUGCUGACCACAGGUCUUCAUUAUAAAAGCAUCUGAAGGAGUUCCUGAAGGGGAGGUCCUGUUGGCUGGACCCUGUCGUGCUGGUUAUAUGUAAACUGGCUGAACUACCCAGUUCUUAAACUGUCACAUGCUCCCGUCAGCUGCUCGGCUUCCUCCCCUCAGGGCAGUGCUAUUUAACACUCUCUCUUCUAAUCUCGCCUUCCUGCCUCCCCCGUCUGCAGCCUCCCCUGCACUGCGCACCCGCUCACUCUCCCCUUCCCCCAGGAGAACACAUUCUGGCAGACAGAAGUUCAAAUGAGAAGUUAAAACGCUUUGAGGCAGCAGGCAAAGUGUCAGCAGAGCCGGUGGAAACCGCAGCCUUGGGAGCAACACGUGGACCCUGCUUGGGGAUAAAGCAGGACAGACAGAAGGAGCAGGACGGACAGGAGGAACAGGACAGACAGAAGGAGCAGGACGGACAGGAGGAGCAGGACGGACAGAAGGAGCAGGACAGACAGGAGGAGCAGGACGGACAGGAGGAGCAGGACAGACAGAAGGAGCAGGACAGACAGGAGGAGCAGGACGGACAGGAGGAGCAGGACAGAGAGAAGGAGCAGGACGGACAGGAGGAGCAGGACAGACAGAAGGAGCAGGAUGGACAGAAGGAGCAGGACAGACAGGAGGAGCAGGACAGAGAGAAGGAGCAGGACAGACAGAAGGAGCAGGACGGACAGGAGGAGCAGGACGGACAGGAGGAGCAGGAUGGACAGAAGGAGGAGGACGGACAGAAGGAGCAGGAUGGACAGAAGGAGCAGGACGGACAGGAGGAGCAGGACAGAGAGAAGGAGCAGGACAGCCAGACAGGAGGAGCAGCCUUCUGGGACCCAAACAAACAGUCAUGCCCCAAAUACCCCCAGGGCUCUUGAAAGGGACAGCGGAAGGCACAGGCCAGCUUCCUCUCCAAGCAGACCCAUGUCCAUGAACCCUGCAAUCCCAGGCCAGGAGACAAUCUUGAAACAUGCUGUGACCCUCUCUUCCCUGGCGGAAGCCCUCACGGAAUGGACUGAAGCAGCUGAGGCACCCCCGGGGGGCUCAGUGAGGAUGAGGAGGGAAGGAGGCGGCCGUGGGACUCUGGGCAUGCAUCUGGCACAGGGCGGAGCCGUCUGAGAUGCCAUCCAUCCCUCUUCUUGCUGGUGUCGACUUCAUCUGUCAUCGCUGCUCAUCCCUUCCACAGCAGUUCUGCCUGAUGGUUCACCUGCGGCAGCCGUGCCACGUGAAGAUCUGGGUUGGUUUCCACCCUCCUGAAGCUCAUGGUCCGCUGGGGGAGUUGAGAUCACAGACAAUAUAACUUGUCCAGCUUCCCUGCAGCUGCCUUCUUGGGGCUUGACUUUAGAUCCCAGGAAUCUCUCUCAGAACCAGCCCUGGCCUGCCUAACCCACCUGCUGUCCUGUCCCUAAGCAACACCUCCAUCCUGCCACCCAAGAUACAGCAUAGUCCUCCAGCGUAACAAUGUCACCCCCUCACUGAGUGCCCUGAUGGAAUGUAAAAUAUGCCACCCACCCUGAUGUGGAAGGGGAAGUGUCCUCUUCAUGGCAUACCCAUGUGGGCUGUUUUCUCCUGUUCACCCAAGAUAGAGAGCCCCAAAGGGGCUGGGGCCAAAUCUGGGUCAUGGCCACAUCCAUGAACAGUGGGAUAGACCCUCUGGUGUGCACCAUGACCCCCUUCAAGGAAGGAUGUGUUGCCAGCUUCUCUGUGUGCUGCCUACACACAGCCUUCAUCAGCCACCAUUUGGGCCCAACUGAGGUAGUCACUGGGCCUUCACCCAGCUCAGCUCCCCCUUCUCUCCCUUCUACCCAUUGGGUCCCAUGGGUACUGCACAGGCAUCCUACCUGCUAACCUCCACCUCACAGCCGGCUUUUUGGAGAACUUGAUCUGCAACAAUGAAUGAGUGAAUGAGUGAAUGAAUGAAUGAUGUUGGCAGAGUAGGGAUUAUCAGUUUUGUUGUUGUCAUUGUUGUUUUUUGAGACGGAGUUUUGCUCUUGUCUCCCAGGCUGGAGUGCGGUAGUGUGAUCUCGGCUCACUGCAAACUCCGCCUCCUGGGUUCAAGCGAUUCUUCUGCCUCAGCCCCACAAGUAGCUGGGAUUACAGGCAUAUGCCACCACGCCCAGCCAAUUUUGUCUUUUUAGUAGAGAUCAUGUUGGUCACGCUGGUCUUGAACUCCCGACCUCAGGUGAUCUGCCCACCUCGGCCUCCCAAAGUUCUGGGAUUACAGAUGUGAGCCACCGUGCCCGGCCGAUUAUUACUUUUUUUAGUGAGGAAAAUGAGGCUCAGAAAGGAUAACUAAUUCGGUCAAGGCAUCACCUUAAUGAUUACAGGAAGCAACGAGAAGCUGUCCUCCUAAUUGCAGGCUGAUACCGAAGGACACAGUGAAAAAUUGGCUAAGAUGGGAACGGCUGGAGGAUGGUGCUGGAGAAGCCGCUGUGGGCUGCCCGCCGGCAGCUGCAGUGCCACAGAAAGCCAGGUCUUCCCUGCUGGUUUUUCAUGGAUUUGGCCAGAACCACCGAGGAGUUGGGGUCGAUUGUGUUUUUUAUUCCUUCGCGCACAGCCUGAGAGCUGCCUCUAUAAAGCCCGAGUAAGAAUCAGUGUUUUCUCUCCAGAAAGAAGUCUUCUUUCUUGGAGCCAUUUUACCAAAAUCAUCAGGGUUGACAACAAGCUGGAUGUGCUCAUGAGCAUUCCCGAGUCACAGGCUUCUUCCCCCAGGGACAGUCCCUCCUGCAAGUGCCUAAAUCUUGCCUUGGGAGUUUUUUCACCUCGGUGUUUGUGGCCAGACCUCACCCCCACUGCCUGGCUUCCUUCUUCAUGUAAUUGAAUGCGCAGUUCAUUAAGAUCUUUGGUGGUGGCGGAAAUGUUACAGGGGAAGAAAAAGCUGUUGACAAUUUUAUUUUUAAAAGUAACUAAGAAUAGGGUAAACCUUGUAAAAAUAGCAAGCCUGCAAGCAGAAUUGUGCUCAAGGCCAAGUUCUCCUCCCCAAAAUCAGAGCAUGGCAUUUAAUAAGAACAGGGCGCAAGGCUCAGGCUCAACUUCCCAUGCACUGGCGUGGAGGUCUCAGGAACAAGAUCAAAAACAACAGCACAUGAGGCUGGGUGUGGUGGCUCACACCUACAAUCCCAGCACUUUGGGAGGCUGAGACUAGUGGAUCACCUGAGGUAGGGAGGUCGAGACCACCCUGGUCAACGUGGUGAAACCCCGUCUCUACUAAAAAUGCAAAAAUUAGCCAGGUGUGGUGGUGCACACCUAUAAUCCCAGCUACUCGGGAGGCUGAGGCAGGAGAAUUGCUUGAACCUGGGAGGCAGAGGUUGCAGUGAGCCGAGAUCACGCCACUGCACUCCAUCCUGGGCAACAGAGCAAGACUCCAUCUAAAAAAAAAAAACCAUGCGGAACCCAUGUGGCCACUGGCUGUGAAUGUUUGUGCAAUGUCCAGCGUGCCCUUCCCCUCUCACCAAAGAACACAGAUAGACUUACCAGAUGUAUUUGGAUUAGAUCCACACGUCACCUCAUGAAAUACAGGAAAUCUCUUUGGUCAUGUUUCGUGUAGUCCCAGAACUUAGAAGAACAAAGGUAGUAUGCAAAAGUGCCUAUGACUUUGAAACUGUUCCAUUAAAAAAUUUUUUCGGCCAGGCAUGGUGGCUCACGCCUGUAAUCCCAGCACUUUGGGAGGCCAAGGAUGGCAGAUCACCUGAGGUCAGGAGUUUGAGAGCAGCCUGACUAAUAUGACGAAACUCCGUCUCUACUAAAAAUACAAAAAUUAGCCGGGUGUGGUGGCAUUUUGGGAUUACAGUAGCCUGUAAUCCCAGCUACUGGGGAGGCUGAGACAGGAGAAUCACUUGAACCCAGGAGGCAGAGGUUGCAGUGAGCUGAGAUUGUGCCAUUGCACUCCAGCCUGGGCAACAAGAGUGAAACUCUGUCUCAAAAAAAAAAAAAAUUCUUCUUUUGAUAUAGAGAUUUGAUCUCACUAUGUUACCCAGGCUGGUCUCAAACUCCUGGCCUCAAGUGAUCUUCCUGCCUCGGCCUCCCAAACUGCCCUUGUGUAGUUUGAAGGAACUUGGGUAUUUCAGUGAAAAAGAAGCCUUUGGGAAGAGUGUUGUCUUUCUGUUCACCCUCUGAGCCCUGGCCAGAAGGAAUGGAAAUUUGAGGGCCAAAGAUCUUUUUUCUUUUCUUUUCUUUUCUUUUCUUUUUUUUUUUUGAGACAAAGUCUCACUCUGUCGCCAGGCUGGAAUGCAGUGGUGUGAUCUCGGCUCACUGCAACCUCAGCCUCCUGGGUUCAAGCCAUUCUCCUGCCUCAGCCUCCAGAAUAGCUGGGACUAUAGGCAUGCGCCACCACACCUGGCUAAUUUUUAUAUUUUUAGUAGAGAUGGGGUUUCACCAUGUUAGCCAGAAUGGUCUCAAUUUCCUGACCUCGUGAUCCGCCUGCCUUGGCCUCCCAGAGUGCUGGGAUUACAGGCAUGAGCCACCUCGCCCAGCCAAGGGCCGAAGAUCUUAGCCCAAGGUUCCCUGAGACAAGAGAGACCAACAGACAGAGAGCAGAGGCCCGACACCGGAAGUCUCCAGGGCCAGCUGGAGGGGUCUGUAGAAAACCUGCCGAGGGAAGAGAUCACACUGACCCCAGGGAUCCGAGGGCCACUCUUGUUGGGAGCCCCUGUGUCUCCUUGUGUCCUGGGCAUCCUGCAAUUCAGGAGUUUCACAUGGCUGGGGGCUCCACGACCAAGGAACUGAAGACUGAGUCUGUCAGUCAAAUCGCCCCACGGCCCUGCGAAGCAACCAGCAGCCCCAAAACACAGUAGGAAGUUAUGAACAAGCUGUGUGUUUCUUGGAGAAUCAGGAAGGCCUGGACAAGGUUGUGCCACAGUUGCAGAAGGUGAGGUGGAAGGGUGUCUCAGCCGUGUGCUCACAUCCUGAAAUCUUAGAUAAAUUGUUCUCGAAGAUCCACCAAAGGGAGGUUCCCAUGGUGCCUGACUUCCCCUGGCUGGCCACAAACGCUUCCCAGAAUGGGGAGGGGGGUGGCAUUUAUAAAGGAUCUGCUCAGCUCUGCUGGCCGCGGGAGCCCCCCAGGUCCCCAAGGCAGGAUGCGCCCUCUAUGUCUUACGGAAACACAGUCUCCAGGAGGGAGACCGAGUGCAAAGCAACUACAGAAAAGUGCACACACUCCAGGUGCCGUGGGUGAGCGCCCCUGUAGCAUUCUUUCCCUAAGCGUCGAAUGAGCCCCUACUGUAUACCAGGGUCUGUGCUGGGUUCUGAGGUCCAGAGAGAAACCUGCAGGGAUGAGGAAGAGAAGGGGUGAUUGGUCAGCCAAUGGCAAUGUGGUGCACGCAGGGCUACACCCCAGCAGGCCCGUGUUCUGUGAAGCCAUGGGGAGAUGCUGGCUGGGAGGCUGCACAGUGGAGCAGACAGUCCUGUGACCACAGGACUCACAUCUGAGCAGAACUUGAAGCCCCACAUUACGAAUCAGUGCAGCAAGUCCCAGAGGCAGGAGACGACUUUGCUCCAGGUCCUGCCGGCAUCCCCAGCAUCCGGCCCUGAUGGAUCCUUUAUGGCAGACGAUGAAUUAGAAGCGGAGCACAGACUCUGGAACCAGCCCAGCUCUGAGACGUUUCUCUGCAA